GUAUGUAGCUCAGUGGUAGAGUGUUUGCCUAGUAUGCACAAAGGCCUAAGUUUUAUCCCCAGCACUGCA
rnacentral:tRNA from 1 species